UACGGAGGGUGCAAGCGUUAUCCGGAUUCACUGGGUUUAAAGGGUGCGUAGGCGGGCAGAUAAGUCAGCGGUGAAAUCUCCGAGCUUAACUUGGAAACUGCCAUUGAUACUAUCAGUCUUGAAUACCGUGGAGGUUAGUGGAAUAUGUCAUGUAGCGGUGAAAUGCUUAGAUAUGACAUAGAGCACCCAUUGCGAAGGCAGCUGACUACACGGAGAUUGACACUGAGGCACGAAAGCGUGGGGAUCAAACAGG
rnacentral:rRNA from 1 species